rnacentral:lncRNA from 1 species
AGAUCGAGUUUAGAGUAAAUUAGAAAGUUGCACGAACAUUGAUAAUAAAGUCGAAUUUAAUAACAAUAGAAGGUAUGAGAGGGUGGAUUAGGAUGAAACCGUAAACCCCAACAACUUUAUUCAUCUAUAUCUUUAUCUGUUAAUUGAUUCAGCUUUUGCAUUUGCAUGUUUAAUUUAAGUUUUUGCAUUACGAACUCAAAACUUAAUUUUCAUUCAAGUCUUAUAAAAUCUAUUCACAUGAACGUCUAAGCCUAAGAG